rnacentral:rRNA from 1 species
GAUGAACGCUGGCGGCGUGCCUAAUACAUGCAAGUCGAGCGAACGGACGAGAAGCUUUCUUCUCUGCUGUUAGCGGCGGACGGGUGAGUAACACGUGGAUAACCUACCUAUAAGACUGGGAUAACUUCGGGAAACCGGAGCUAAUACCGGAUAAUAUUUUGAACCGCAUGGUUCAUAAGUGAAAGACGGUCUUGCUGUCACUUAUAGAUGGAUCCGCGUUGCAUUAGCUAGUUGGUAAGGUAACGGCUUACCAAGGCAACGAUGCAUAGCCGACCUGAGAGGGUGAUCAGCCACACUGGAACUGAGACACGGUCCAGACUCCUACGGGAGGCAGCAGUAGGGAAUCUUCCGCAAUGGGCGAAAGCCUGACGGAGCAACGCCGCGUGAGUGAUGAAGGUCUUCGGAUCGUAAAACUCUGUUAUUAGGGAAGAACAUAUGUGUAAGUAACUGUGCACAUCUUGACGGUACCUAAUCAGAAAGCCACGGCUAACUACGUG